CUGAGGGGCCAAUUGUGCAGAUACUGGCUGCUCUUUUGAAGAUCGUCUGCCUCUUCCAGCUACUUUCAGGGUUUUUCCAUCUUCUGUUUUCCACAUUUUAAUAGAGAGUUUUGUUGGUUCACUCUGUCGCUCUUACCUGGGUCUGUAGAGCCCCUGGGGGCUGCAGCCUGGCCACUGUGGCAGCGGCAUAGAAUUGAACCCACUGUCUGUCGCUCCCAGGACCGCCCAUCCAUCAGUGUGGGCAGAGUGGGAGCCGUCUAAGGAGGUUGUGCAGGGAGAGUCAGAAGUGAAAGCAUCUCAGGGAAGGUUUCCCGAGCUGUGUCAGCACCACGCCUUGCCAGGAUGCUGGGGCCACACGAAACUGGGCAUCUGCUCAGCCUCAGAGGUGGACAGGGGCCUUCUGCUUCAUCUCCUUGGAGCAGUUCAGGCCUCUCCUUAUUAUUUAUUGAUUUAGAGACUGGGCCUUUCUCUAUUGCCCAGUCUGGAGUACAACAGCACAGUCACAGCUCACUGCAGCCUUGACUUCCCCCAGCUCGAGCGAUCCUCCCACCUCAUCCUCCCUAGUAGCUGGAAAUACAGGAGUGUGCAACCAUGCAGGAUUCAUUUUUUAAAGGGUGGGGCUUACUCUUUUAAAAUGUACUAAGCAACAGCUGAGGAGAUGUUCCAGACCCAGGAAACAAAAGAAACCUCAGACCCUGCUCUACACCACUAAAUGGCAAAAGCAAGAAGAUUGACGACACCAAGUGUUGGUGAGGCUGUGGAGCAUCUGAGAUUCCCGGGCCCUGAGGGUGGAGGGACAUGGUCACGUCCAGAUGCUGACAUCAGGAGCCAGCCCCGCAGGGCCUCAUGAGGUGGCAUACCCACCCCACAACCCAGGCACUCCUCUCCAGGGUGCCCGCCCAAGAGAAAUGAAACCUGUCCACACACAGAUCGGUGAUAAACACCAUGCAGCUUUAUUCCUUGAGCCAAAAGGGAAAAGACCCAAACAUCCAUCCACAGCUGAAUAAACGUCCUGUCCAUCCACACCAUGAAUGGUCCAUUAGCAAGGAAAAGCAAUGAAGGCUGAUGAAAAGAUAUGCAUGCCUCUCAAAAUCAGCGUGCUGAGUGAAAGAAGACAGAUGUAAGGGGAUUGGUUUGGCUG
rnacentral:lncRNA from 1 species